AUUCCAGCUCCAAUAGCGUAUAUUUAAGUUGUUGCAGUUAAAAAGCUCGUAGUUGGAUUUCGGGUGUCAUCUGCCGGUCCGCCGUUUCGGUGUGCACUGGCGGGCGUCAUCUUUCUGUCGAGGACGCGCUCCUGUCCUUCACUGGUCGGGACGCGGAGUCGGCGAGGUUACUUUGAAAAAAUUAGAGUGUUCAAAGCGGGCUUACGCUUGAAUAUAUUAGCAUGGAAUAACACUAUAGGACUCCUGUUCUAUUUUGUUGGUCUUCGGGACGGGAGUAAUGAUUAAGAGGAACAGUUGGGGGCAUUCGUAUUUCAUUGUCAGAGGUGAAAUUCUUGGAUUUAUGAAAGACGAACUUCUGCGAAAGCAUUUGCCAAGGAUGUUUUCAUUA
rnacentral:rRNA from 1 species